CCUCUUCUAAAAAAAGAUGGCGUUUUUUAAAUGAUUUAAAAAAGGCUAUCUUUUUUUAGAAAGGG